UGGGCCAACCUCUGCUUGCUAUCUGGGAAGGUAGGGGAGAACUGGUACAAUUGUAACAGCGGUACAAGUAACAGUGUUUUAUUCUCAAGAUAUUGUGUAGCUAUGAAAACGUAAACAGACACAUAUCAUGUAAUUAUGUAUAAUCUUACAGCCAUCCAAAUAUGAAUGGUCUACGAUAAAUACGACCAGAGAUAUUAAGCAAAAAGGUUCAAAAUUUAAGCAUCGCGAUUUUUUAAAAUUAUUUUUUAACCGCAACUUUGUUUAAGUUUGCUUCGUGAAAUUUGAGCGUGUGGACUUCAAUCACAUGUCAUUCAUAUCUUCAGUCCCUCUGUUUCAAGUUAACAUGAGUGCCAUUUGAUUUAUAUAGUCACAGCAAAUGCAAUUAAAUGAAAAUAAAAACAUGACCUGUGCGGGUCAGUUGUAACACCAGUCUCUAUGGCAAAAUGAACUGAUUUUUAUCGCGCAUGCGCGAACAUUCUGAUUGCGAGUUAUGGAUUAUGAUUUUUGUGCCGCGAUCACCCAAUUACAGUUAACACAGCAACUUGAAAUAUCCCUGUUGGACCAAAUGCUUCAGACAUGUCAGAAAUAAGCAGUUUAUCAACUAUAUUACUGGUUUUAUCAAGUGGAUAUGGCCAAAAUAAGCUUAUUUAAAGGUUAUUGUGUAUAAGGGGGAGAGCCGGGACGAUUGAAACACGGGACGAAUGAAACAAUCCAGUUUUCUCCGAGUGUAAUGAUGAUAGACCGUCGUCCUUCGGUCAAAACAUAGAGCAUGUUAACCUCCUUCUAUCAGCCAAAUAUCUUCCUGUUAUGUCAUUUUAUCACGGAGUUACUGGCAAUAAACGAGUUUCGAUGCGCAAAAGUACACUGUAAAAAAUGAAUCCUGGUGCCAAGGAAAUUACACAAAAAAAAUAAAGUAUGACUUAAUUUCUUGAAGCAGUCGCCUUAAAAAAAUAACUAUUAUCUUUUCCCCCAAAUAAAUCAACUACAUUUGCGAGAAAAAUAUUCAGAGAAAAUGUUCCCUAAAAGAAUUGUGGGAAGUUGCACAAUUUCUCGCUGAUAAAUGUGCAGCCUUUUCCUCAAAUAUUUUGAACAUCUGAAAAACGUCCUUCAGUUGAGAUUUUGAAAAGAAUGCCUCAAAGACAGACGCCAUUGAAGUUCAGCAUGGAAUAGUAAAAGGGUUGGCAAAAUGCUCAUCAAAGUCCAGUACCGUGGACUAAAAAAAGUACCUCAAACUGCAUCCUGGUUUUUCUUAUGAAAGUUUCAUUGAAGAAGAAUUUGUGCCAGCAGGUUAUUCUACUCUAAUUUCUUCAAGUGAUAUGGAGAGGUCCUCUUCAAACAAGGGACAUCAAUCUUGCCGCACUACACAGAUCUGGCUGAACGUAACGCCCGCUCAUUUGAUGUUAACGGAACACGAAUCUAGGCAAUUUUCUUCCUUCAGAUACAGGUCUUGUUAUAAUCUCCCUGUACACUUUCAAAAGUUUAUAACACUUUAGUUUGUCUGUAGAGACCAUCACCACACUACCAAGUGUAAUCAUAUUUUGCCAGUGGUUUAAAAUAGCGUUUGUUUUUUCAACAUGCUUGCUGCCCCCUUAGCUUUCACUGUAGCCUAUGCCCAUUCAGUGUUGCGGUCUUGCUCAAAACUCCACCAAUUAACACAAUUUUGCUACCACAUACCAUAAAUAUACCCUAGGUUGUUUGUACUCUCGAGUUACACUUAAAUACAUCUCCUGUGUUUUUAGAGGGUGCAGGUAAGUUUUCUCUUUACAAGUGUAUCACCGUUAUUGUUUCUCUUUUACCCAUAGAUGGUCCAGGAGGUUCUGGAGAAGAGUUCAGGGGGAGAGGAAACAGUGGAGGGGUAUAAGAGAUUGAGCACCGUGACACACUGCACAAGACGGCAUCAUAUCCUGGUCAGCCACAUUGUUGAAAUGCAUGGGAGCUCUGGAUCUCAUUCAUAGUCACCAUUGGGUCCUUGGUUACCUGUCUGACCAAGGCCCCUUUGUCCCAGGAUUACUCAGUUUGGCUUGCUUUUUUGCGGAGAGUUGGAGGAUUUUGUGUAGAUGUUGAUGAAGAUGAUCUGUUUGUUAUAUCUCUGUCAUUCAUCUGAAUAUUUUUAAUGUUUUUUUUUUUUAAAUGCCCAAGCUAUUGUUAUUUAUUUUUUCUCAACGUCAGGUUUAAUUUACACUGAAUAAAUGCUGUUAAAUGAAAUACUGACUCUCUAAUUGUGUAUAUACACCACAUCCUUUAAAAUGUAUAGUAAUAGACUUAUUUAA